GCUGCGUAUGGUCAUGUGAACCUGUGGUCCCAGCUACUCAGGAGGCUGAGACAGGAGGAUCACUUGAGCCCAGGAGUUUGAGGCUAGCCUGGGCAAUAGAGUGAGACCCUGUCUUAA
rnacentral:sRNA from 1 species